rnacentral:lncRNA from 1 species
AGUGCCGGACCCUCUCCACGUGCAAUCGCCCGUGACCCCACGACCUUCCCUCAUCUCCACUCCGAUGGUGGCGGCGCCCCAUCCCGUCCUCGACUCCAUCGGUGACGGUGCCCAGCCAACAUCGAGCGACGCUCGCCUUCCUCGACUCUAUCAGCGACGGUGCCGAGCCAGCAUCAGCAGGGCCCCUCCGUGCCCCCUUCUCAUCGGCGCAUGGUCAUCCCAUCGAUCAAUCCGUAGGCAAAUGUCUUGCUUAUCCGUUUUGCUUCUUUCCUGAUCAAGAGCACCUAGCCCCACGUCUGUGUUGCUCACCUGUGUUGCGUGUUUCCAUCUCAAUUCACUAAUCCAUCUUGUUGUGAUCGAUUUGUUAAUUCCAAUUUAAUAUCCUUGCAUAUUGCAGAUCCGAAUAGGAGGCUUAUCAUUGCAGAUCUGGUUGAUUUUAUUGAUCUUGUUGCUAUCACAUUUCUAAUUUUCUACUUAAAUCAAAUCAUCUUCUCUUGGAUACAAGGCAUUCUCUCAUUGUCUCUGGCAGCGGCAGCGAUCUUUGCUUCUCUGCACUUGUUGUCGACGGUCACAUGGAAUUAAAAAGAGUAUUUCUAGAUAUGUUUCAAAGAAGUGUAUGUUUAGAUACUAAAAAAUGUUAGAUACUUUUUGAAAGAAGAGUAUGUUUAGAUACUUUAUCACAGAAGAAUAUCAUCGAUACUCUUUUUAUAAAUUAUAAGGUGUUAUUCAAUACUUUCUUGAAUAUGGUUGUAUCACUGAAUAUAUUUUUAGAUUAUAGUAGUGGCAAUACAUUGUUCUAUAUUAUUUUUAACAAAGUUUGUUCUAUAUUUUCUCGGUACAAAUAUAUUUCAUACUACUACUACAGUAUUAUAAUUUUUUUCUCAGAGUACUCGGCGAUGAUGUAUGUUUGUAUACAUACUCUCGGCGAUGAUGUAUGUAUGUAUACAUACUCCCAAAUAAUUAAACAAUUUUCAAUGUAUAUAUAUAUAUAUAUACUUUUGUUGCCGAUAGGCCAGAACUGCUAACGAGGUGGACGCCGGACGUCAUCGGCCCGUUUGCGUGUAUACACCCGAUAGGCCAGAAUCGCUAACGCGAGGUGAACGCCGGCCGUCAUCGGCCCGUUUGCGUGUAACUACACGUAGAAGUGUAUAUAUAUAUAUAUAUAUAUAUAUAUAUAUAUAUAUAUAUAUAUAUAUAUAUAUAUAUAUAUAUGGUAAAUUUUUUCUACUCCGUGGGAGUAGUUACUCCCUACUCUAAACCAAGUACAUGAGUGCCGCACUCCCUUACCGGGUCAACAAACGAGUAGAUCCGAUAGAGGAUAUACCGUUCGAUUUUUAUGCCGAUAGGCUGUAUCCACAUCUAGAUAUUUCAAGCGAGCAGUGCCGGACCCUCUCCACGUGCAAUCGCCCGUGACCCCACGACCUUCCCUCAUCUCCACUCCGAUGGUGGCGGCGCCCCAUCCCGUCCUCGACUCCAUCGGUGACGGUGCCCAGCCAACAUCGAGCGACGCUCGCCUUCCUCGACUCUAUCAGCGACGGUGCCGAGCCAGCAUCAGCAGGGCCCCUCCGUGCCCCCUUCUCAUCGGCGCAUGGUCAUCCCAUCGAUCAAUCCGUAGGCAAAUGUCUUGCUUAUCCGUUUUGCUUCUUUCCUGAUCAAGAGCACCUAGCCCCACGUCUGUGUUGCUCACCUGUGUUGCGUGUUUCCAUCUCAAUUCACUAAUCCAUCUUGUUGUGAUCGAUUUGUUAAUUCCAAUUUAAUAUCCUUGCAUAUUGCAGAUCCGAAUAGGAGGCUUAUCAUUGCAGAUCUGGUUGAUUUUAUUGAUCUUGUUGCUAUCACAUUUCUAAUUUUCUACUUAAAUCAAAUCAUCUUCUCUUGGAUACAAGGCAUUCUCUCAUUGUCUCUGGCAGCGGCGGCGAUCUUUGCUUCUCUGCACUUGUUGUCGACGGUCACAUGGAAUUAAAAAGAGUAUUUCUAGAUAUGUUUCAAAGAAGUGUAUGUUUAGAUACUAAAAAAUGUUAGAUACUUUUUGAAAGAAGAGUAUGUUUAGAUACUUUAUCACAGAAGAAUAUCAUCGAUACUCUUUUUAUAAAUUAUAAGGUGUUAUUCAAUACUUUCUUGAAUAUGGUUGUAUCACUGAAUAUAUUUUUAGAUUAUAGUAGUGGCAAUACAUUGUUCUAUAUUAUUUUUAACAAAGUUUGUUCUAUAUUUUCUCGGUACAAAUAUAUUUCAUACUACUACUACAGUAUUAUAAUUUUUUUCUCAGAGUACUCGGCGAUGAUGUAUGUUUGUAUACAUACUCUCGGCGAUGAUGUAUGUAUGUAUACAUACUCCCAAAUAAUU